rnacentral:misc_RNA from 1 species
UACGUAGGGCGCGAGCGUUAUCCGGAAUUACUGGGCGUAAAGCGCGCGUAGGUGGCUUGAUAAGCCGGUUGUGAAAGCCCCGGGCUCAACCUGGGAACGGCAUCCGGAACUGUCAGGCUAGAGUGCAGGAGAGGAAGGUAGAAUUCCCGGUGUAGCGGUGAAAUGCGUAGAGAUCGGGAGGAAUACCAGUGGCGAAGGCGGCCUUCUGGACUGACACUGACACUGAGGUGCGAAAGCGUGGGUAGCAAACAGG